UAAUCGCAGCAGCAGCAGCAGCAGCAGCAGCAAUGGCCGCCUUUCGCAGAGUGGCAUCGCUGGCUGGUAAGAUAAACCUCUGGUCGGCGGCGAAAAUCGAGCUAGUCCGUGGUCAGAGUGUCAGUGGUGGAGGGGCACGGAGGGGUCUAGCUGUAGGAGUGUGUUUGGCGACGGGAGGCGCCGUGGCGGUUUACUUCUACAACGAAAUGACGAGCGGCAGAGGCAGGAAGAGGAUGGGGAGACACAGCAUCAGCGGCCGCGGACUCCUGCCGUCCAUCCCAACUGUGGAAGCCAAAGAGAAGGCACGUUCAUUUGACUUUGAGGAUGGAGAUGUGCACAUGUCAUCUCAUGAGCAUCGUUUCCGCAUGUUCAGUUCCGUAGAGUAUGAAGGACAACUGUACAUGACUCCACAGAACUUCAUCGAGUCAGUCACCAUGAGUGAACCAAGAAACAAGAGGCCCUGGAGGUCCCUGACCAAACAGGAGCUGGAAAAGAUUCUUACUGAAACUCCACCAGUGUGGAGAGGAUCCUCCAAACUGUUUCGCAACCUGAGAGAACGAGGCAUCAUCUCAUACACAGAGUACCUCUUCCUGCUCUGCAUCUUGACAAAGCCCCAUGCUGGCUUUAAGAUUGCUUUCAAUAUGUUUGAUGCAGACGGCAACCAGAUGGUGGACAAGAGGGAGUUCUUGGUGCUUCAGGAAAUCUUCCGUAAGAAAAAUGAGAAGAAGGGGAGGAAAGGAGAUGCAGAGAAGUCAGCGCAGUUGAGUAUGCAGCUGUAUGGAUAUCAGGUUGCCCCCGUGAACAGCGUGCUAAAAAAAGACAGUCAGGAGUUUGUGGCACGGAGUUACUGGGACGUUCUGAGGCGAAGCGCCAGUCAAGUCCUCUUUUCUGACCUAGCAGAGCGUGCAGAUGAGAGUAUGACAAUCGACACCACCCUAUUGGUCCAUUUCUUUGGAAAGAAAGGGAAGGCAGAGUUAACCUUUGAUGACUUUUACAGGUUUAUGGAUAACCUCCAGACUGAGGUGUUGGAAAUUGAGUUUCUGACCUACUCUAAAGGGAUGACCACCAUCAGUGAAGAAGAUUUCGCCAAAAUCCUGCUGCGCUUCACAAAUGUGGAGAAUAUCAGCGCUUACCUGGAGAAUGUCAGACAGAGUAUCCCUGAUGAAAAGCAGGAGGGAAUCACCUUUGACGAGUUCAGGUCUUUCUUCCAGUUUCUGAAUAACCUGGAGGAUUUUGCCAUUGCCAUGCAGAUGUACAAUUUUGCAUCUCGCUCCAUUGGACAAGAUGAGUUUGCGAGGGCAGUGUAUGUGGCCACCGGUCUUAAACUAACACGUCACCUUGUCAACACAAUCUUUAAGAUCUUUGAUGUAGAUCACGAUGACCAGCUGUCCUACAAGGAGUUCAUUGGCAUAAUGAAGGAUCGGCUGCACAGGGGAGCCAGGGGCUAUAAAUCUGUGGAACGUGCCACCUCCUUUAGAUCCUGUCUGAAGAAGGAGCUAGCAAGCAGAUAAGUUUGACCAGCAUCUACAACAACUAACAACAAGAGAGAAAAUUAGUUCAAGUGAAAACACAUCACCACACCUCCUUCUCUAGCUGUGUUCGAUUUGAAGCUAGAAGACAAGUGCACCAGCUCUGGAGGAAGUACAGGGAGAAACCAUAGACGAGAGGACUGAAUAGAGGGGGAACCAACAGAAUGAAGACCAAUGAAAGCAUUGGAUGGAACAAUUCAGACUGAGCCCUAUGUCAAAAGCCAUGGGUUUUCAAAGACACAUCAUUGACAUCUUUUCUUACUUUGAGUCUUGUACCGCUGCUAUUUAUUCCAAAUAUUAUUUACAGUGUAACUGUUCAAGUAGUGUACCUCUAAAUAGGGUUUUCAUUGUUAUUACUUUGCAAAAAUAAACAGCACAGGUGUUUAAAUCUAACCAUUAGAAAUAUAAUUGUAAUUAUUCAGUCUAACCAGUCUAAAGCUUAAUUUUUCAGUUGAACAGCAAUAUCCACAAUUUGAUUCCUGGUCCGCAUGAUAUUUGUUUCAUGGCUCAAAAACAUAUAGUAAAAGAACUAAAGCAAACAUUUUUGACAACAAAACUAUUUCCAUACAUCUAAGCAAGUCUUAGAGGAGCUGUCAACUGAAUAGUAUAUUUAUGUGAUGUGCUAUGACUCAAUACUUAGACAAAAUUUGAUCUAUGAUUUUUAUCUUUAGGAAGAAAAGAUGAAUGACAGCAUUAACAUUAAGAUGUGUGCAGUAACUAGAACAAACUCAAAGAGCACAAAAAUAAUAAAAAUAUAUUUGAUACUCAGAAACAUCAACUUAAAAUCAACAAUUACUGCUUAGUUAUAUUCAAGUAAUGUAGACACAAAAUACAACAUUUUUGGAUUGCAGAAUUUGUUAAUUUACUGUGUUAAUAUGUAUUCUCCUCAUCUUGUCAUAAUCAUCUCAGUGUGUUUCCAUUUAUAUUGUGUUUAAACUUAUGUAGCAGCUUAUGAUUUUGCUUUUUUGCACAGAGUGUAUAUAAACACUAUUGCUUCUAUCAUAUUACUACAAUUAUAGUGUAAUAGGCAUGUCUUUGACUUUUGACUUGGAUGAAAAAACAUAUAUUGGAUGUUUUUUUUGUUUGUUUCUUUUUUUCAUUUAAUGUUAUAUCCUCCUGAGACCCAGCAAUGUAUUUUUGUACUCUGUAGUGGACAAGAGUUUCACAGCUUUAAUUAAAAAAAACAAACAAAACUGUCUACUGCAAAGGACAUUUCAUUAAAUAAAAAUUAAAAAAAAAAAAGUAUCUGAAAAACUGGCAUCUUACAGUUUCCGAUCGAAGAAAUUAUUUAAUGUAACACACCCAAAACUUUUACUUACCGAGUUUCAGGAGGGUAUGAUUGAAUCCUCACUGUUUUUACAUAAGUAUUGAAACGUUAAUUGCAUGUAUGAUGUCUUAAGGUGCCUUUCGUCCUUUCCCUCUCUUAUUGCUGGAAAAAUGUCACAAUGAAACUGUAUCAACACUGCAGCAACAGCAAAAUAUGUGCAAUAAAUUUAAGUACUACAUGUAAAUCAUAUGUGUUAGUCCUCAGUGUGCAUUAUAAAUUGUCAAGUAAUAUAGACAUCUUGGUCGUAUGUUUUUUUUUUUCUCAUUGUGUCAAUAAUUCUUUGAAAUUUCUCAAAACUUUAUUCUGUCAUCUCAUUAAAAGUGGUAAAUGAAACUGAACGCAUGAAUAAACUAUUUUACCAAGGAAAA